rnacentral:rRNA from 1 species
GUUCGAUUAUGGCUCAGAUUGAACGCAGCGGGAUGCUUUACACAUGCAAGUCGAACGGCGGCACGGACUUCGGUCUGGUGGCGAGUGGCGAACGGGUGAGUAAUGUAUCCGGAACGUGCCUAGUAGCGGGGGAUAACUACGCGAAGCGUAGCUAAUACCGCAUACGCCCUUCGGGGGAAAGCGGGGGACCUUCGGGCUCGCACUAUUAGAGCGGCCGAUAUCGGAUUAGCUAGUUGGUGGGGUAACGGCUCCGCAGGCGACGAUCCGUAGCUGGUUUGAGAGGGACGACCAGCCACACUGGGACUGAGAACACGGCCCAGACUCCUGCGGAGGCUUAGCAGUGGGAAUUUGGACAAUGGGGAAACCCUGAUCCGGCCCAUCCACGUUAAUACGUGGAGAAGCCUUCAGGUUGUAAAGCACUUUUGGCGGAAAGAAACGGCACGGGAUAAUACAGUCACAACUGACGUACCUGCAGAGAUGACACCGGCUAACUACGUGCCGCUGACUUGCCGCGGUAAUGUGGUGCAAGCGUUAAUCGGAAUUACUGGACAGCAAAAGCGUGCGCAGGCGGUUCGGAAAGAAGAUGUAUGAAAUCCCAAGGGCUUAACUGGAACUGCAUUUUAACUACCGAGCUAGAGUGUGUCAGAGGGAGGUGGAAUUCCGCGUGUAGCAGUGAAAUGCGUGAAUAUGCGGAGGAGGAACACGAUGGCGAGGCAGCCUCCUGGGAUAACACUGACGCUCAUGCGAAAGCGUGGGGAGCAAACGGGAUUAGAUACCCUGGUAGUCCGCGCCCUAAACGAUGUCAACUAGCUGUUGGGGCCUUCGGGCGGCAAUGGCUGGCUAACGCGUGAAGUUGACCGCCUGGGAGAGUACGGUCGCAGUUAAACAAAGGAACAGAAGCGGGGACCCGCACAAGCGGUGGAUGAUGUGGAUUAAUUCGAUGCAACGCGAAAGCCUUACCUACCUUGACAUGUCUGGAAUCCCGAAGAGAUUUGGGAGUGCUCGCAAAGAGAACCGGAACACAGGUGCUGCAUGGCUGUCGUCAGCUCGUGUCGUGAGAUGUUGGGUUAAGUCCGCCUGGCAGGCGCAACCCCUUGUCAUUAGUUGCUACGAAGGGCACUCUAAUGCGAAUUUGAUGACAAACGGAGGAAAGUGGAUGACGUCAAGUCUCAUGCGUCUGUCGGUGGAAUGUCACACGUCAUACAAUGGUCAAGGACAGAGGGGUCGCCAACCCGCGAGGGGGGAGCCAAUCCCAGAAACCCGAUCGUAGUCCGGAUCGCAGUCUGCAGCUCUCGACUGCGUGAAGUCGAAUCGCUAGCUGUCGCCGGAUCAACAUGUCGCCGGUCAGGCCGUUCGGGUCUUGUGCACACCGCCCCGUCACACCAUGGGAGUGGGUUUGCCACCCAGAAGUAGUUAGCCCUAACCGUAAAGGAGGGCGAUUACCACCACGGUAAGUUCAUGACUGGGGUAAGUCGUGAAAACAAGGUAA